AGACGACAGGGAGGGGGGCGGAGGGAUCAGUGAGAUCGGGGGAGGGGCUAGAAGAGGAAAGAAGGAGGGAGAAGAGGAGGCCCUCUAGGCCUGCACCUGAAACAUUCCCAGGACGCCACCGACUCAUGCCUCCUGCUGCAGACGAGACAGAGGCCGAGUCGGGCGGCUGCCAGCUGAGUGCAGGGCACGGGAACGAGCACUGCCCCCCGCCCCAGUGGUAGCUGUUGCUGGGGCGCAGGGGGUUCUUGGGAGUGAGCACUGUGCCGUGAAGGGGGAGCGUGGGACAGGGCAGCUCGCCUGCUGCCAAGGGCUGGGAGGGCUGGAAGGGCUACCCCCCGACACAGACAACUGCACAGAGCUUCACAGCUGCACAGGGCCUCCCUCACCCACCUUUGCAACUCUGAGCAACUCGGAGUCUCCAAAUCCUCCCCGUUCGCACAACCCCUACCAUUUGGUUCUGGAGAGACCUCUGUUGCUAGGCCAGUGCCUGAUUCUCGGUCACCUCUCCUCUCCCUCUGGGUCUUUACUGAAAUUCCACCCUGUGCCCUGUUGGUGAGGCCUGCUCCGCCCCGUGCUCUACGCAAAUGCAGAGCAGACAAAAUUAAACUCGCCACCAGCAUUCCCGGCUCCCUUCUUCACUUUUAUCCACCCACUUGCCGCUGUCCGCAGGCAUGUUUUGAUUAUUCAGUUGUUGAUCUCUGUCUUCCCCUGCUAGAAUGUAAGCUCCACGAGAACCAGGCUGUUUGUAUGCUGUGUUCACUGUAUAUCCCUAGGCCUCAGUGCCAGGCGCGGAGUAUCCAAGGAGAAGCAUCGGCUCCAAAAAUAUGAAUCCAGACUGAUUACAUGGCCAUCACCCCAAAUAAUGGGACACUGGGCUCGUCAGAGCUGUGUGUACGGGUCCAAGAUAGCCCGGCCUUAAGCUUGGGUGUACCGCUGGCUGACAAUAGGACCCAUGUGACUCAUGUUCCCCAGCUCCAACUUUCUUCUCUGUAAAAUGAUGUGGAAGGUCUGUUCUAGCACCAAGAACCUCUGUCCCCAAAGCAUCUGCUGGAGAGUGGGGCUAAUUGUGAGGACAGAAAAACCACAGGCUUCUAAAACUAUCUGCGCCCUCGUUGCCGAGUUACAUCAGCACCUGAUCUAGAGGCACCAGGGCAGUGAGAAUGGGGGUGCUGCCAACAAGCUCACCUCGGCAAGGCAGAGAUCCCUGUCCCAGAGCAUCUGCCUUCAUCAGUAAAUGUACUUGGGCAGCUCUUUAAUAAAGGACAGGUCCUGGAUGCUCUCCCAAGAUGGACCCUGUCCUCGGGGCGGGGGGGCGGGGCGGGUAGCACGUUCACUCCUCUGGAAAUCCCCCAUCUGUGCCUGGGACUUGUGGAGUCUGGACCUCACCAGAGAGAACCACGGGGACAGAUUUCCGCAAGUGGAACUGCGUUCGCUCCCGUGACUUCCCAAGGAGCACCCCUCACCACCUUCCUUCCUCCCACUGUCCCCCCCCAUGUUCCCUCCCCCCCUGUUCCCUCCCCCCCAUAGAGUCUGCGCGUUCCUGCCUCCAACCCGGUGGUGGCCGAGCAGGUGAACGUCGCCUUAUCUGCCCACGUCUGAGGUGGAGACUUCCGGAACAGUCGCUCGGCUGGCCACACGAGCCACAGAGGCUGUGACGCAUGGUUCCCCGGCCCACGCACCCCGGCCGCGAACACGGGGGCAUGAGCUACCGCAGCUAAAUGUUCAAGUUCCCCGAGAUGUUGAAUGAUGACUCAAGCACAACAGCUUCAUAAAGCCCACUCUGCCUCAGUGGCCUCAUCUGCACCCUCGGAGGGGUGUCCGGUGCAGCGAACAAAGCCUGACCCAAAGUACAUACCAUGCAAGGGUUGUUGAAACAAGCAAAAUAAAAUACAAGAUUAGAACAAAGGAGAACGAGUGUGGUCCCACAGACCUAUCUGACUAUUUGUGACUUCAAGGUGGUCCCUGGUAAAACCCAACUUGUAGGUAAUAUUUGAAAGGAAUAGCAUUUCUCGAUUAAAAAUUUUAUAUGCCAGGGCGCCUGGGUGGCUCCGUUGGUUGGGCAACUGCCUUCGGCUCAGGUCAUGAUCCUGGAGUCCCGGGAUCGAGUCCCGCAUCAGGCUCCCUGCUCAGCAGGGAGUCUGCUUCUCCCUCUGACCGUCCCCCCUCUCAUGUGCUCUCUCUCUCUCUCAUUCUAAUAAAAAUCUUUAAAAAAAUUUUUUAUAUGCCAGAAAUUACAAAUUUCCUAACACUUUAUAAAAGUAGCUCAUUUCUAGAUUAUUGUCAGUUACGGUCUCGUAGAACAGCUUAGAAGACACGUUUUUAAUUUGGUCUGGGGACUAUAUUAAAGUUCUGCAUGUAGCACUCUUAAAAAUAUGAAGAACUCGUCAAGUCUUAUUUCAUGAGGCUCUAGUUUCUACCCCGACAGUUCCUAAUAUUCUGAAAGAUAGCUUCUUACUUUUCUGAGUUCUCUAGAGCAUUUAAUUGCAGCUCAGACUUUACAUGCAGCACAAAAUACCCUGAACUGUCCUUUAACACUGGUGUCGAGGGGGAUUUUAAGUUACUCGGGAGUGAGGUGGUGUCCUAUCCGCCUGUGCAUCCCUCCCGGUGCUGAGUUCGUGUGAGCUGCACACGGGAGGGACCCACACACACCUGGGAUGCACCGUGGCUGGCAGGCCGGGGGCACAGGCCCUGCUCUGCCACCUACUAGAUCUGCAACGCGCGUGCAAAGUUCUGGCUCUCAGUUUCCUCCUCUGCAAAGUGGGUAUGACAACAGCCCCCUUCUCGCAGGGUUGUCUUGAGGAGCAAGUGAAAUAAUGGACACACAGAAGCACUCCC